rnacentral:lncRNA from 1 species
CCACUAUUAGAAAACAGGGUAUGACUUAUGCAAUAACAUGGGGCUGGCUAUAACGCUUUCUUUUUCUCAAAAACUGCUAGUCCAAUAUUGACUCAUUCUAUUCCCAGUCUCUGGUACAUUAAAUCUAAGUUUGUACACAUGAUAAACAAAGUUCACUUACAGUUCAUUGAUACAUCGUCUUCGGUCAGAGUCAAGUAUCCUGAUUAUCCUCAUGACAUUGAUGUGAAAAAGCAUAUGAAAAGUUGCCAAGUA